CCCAGGAAUCACAGUUCCACAAUAAAUGUUUGUUUUGUUCGAUACUGUCCAUCAUUUAUGUCCAUUUAUGUCCAAAUAGCUUCUUUUGUUAGGGCGUUUGGUAAACAAAUCCAAAAGUGGGAUCAGGUCCAGACGGACGAAAAGUUCAAAACGUUAUAUUACAGGUCGAAUACUUGCCAAACUAAGUAUAGAAUCAAUCUUUAGGUUGUUUUUAUCAUAAAUGUUCAAUGAUGUUCCAACCGGAGAAUUGUCUGUAGAAAAUUGUUUCUAGCUCUCUGCCAGACCACUGACUCAAAGAAUUCUCAUCGGGUCCCACUUCACAGUAGAAUCCUGAAAAAACGUUCUAAAGACGGUUGACAUCUAGUGGAAGCCUUAGGAAGUGCAACAUAACCCAUAUCCCACUGUGAAUUUGAUAGGGGCUGAGUUCAAAACUACAAACUUCAGAUUUCCCACUUCCUGUUGCGAUUUUUUCUCAGGUUUUUGCCUACCAUUUUUGCCUGUUUUUGCCUUCUGUUAUACUCACAGACAUCAUUCAAACAGUUAUAGAAACUUCAGAUUGUUUUCUAUCCAAUACUAAUAAUAAUAUGCAUAUAUUAUCAUCUGGGAGGCAGUUUUCUCUGGGCACGCUAUUCAUCCAAAAGUGAAAAUGCUUCCCCCUAUCCCAAAUAAGUUUUUAAUUAAUUCAUCACUGGUGAAUUCAUCACUGUUUUUUCACAAUGUUUGUAACUUAUUUUGGACAUAAUUAUGCAACUACUGUCUCUUAUGACCGAAAAGAGCUUCUGGACAUCAGGACAGCAAUUACUCACCUUGAAUUGGACGAAGAAUUUGUCUUUAAUGAGUCGGAGGAGAGGGAUUUAUUCCAGACACCGAACAAGGCCCUCAUCCUCGUCAUUCGCAGGAGAAAGAGACCGAAAUAUCGCAGAAGGAGAUCGGGGUGCCUGGUAAGGAGCCAGCGACGAGUGACUAAUCUGCCUUUGCCAUCAGUUAUAUUGGCCAACGUACAAUCACUGGAUAAUAAAGUGGACGAACUACAAUAUAUAAACGGGACAUUAAAAACUGUAAUAUCUUAUGUUUCACGAGUCGUGGCUGAAUGACGACAUGAAUAACAUUUAGCUGGUGGGUUAUACACUGUAUCUGCAGGAUUGAACAGCAGCCUCUGGUAAGACAACAGCUGGUGCAUGAUAUCUAAGAAAGUCUCGAGGUUUUGCUCUCCUGAGGUAGAGUAUCUCAUGAUAAUCAAUCAAAUGUAUUUAUAAAGCCCUUUUUACAUCAGCCGAUGUCACAAAGUGCUAUACAGAAACCCAGCCUAAAACCCAAACAAGAAUUGCAGAAGCACGGUGACAAGGAAAAUCUCCCUAGAAAGGCAGGAACCUAGGAAGAAACCUAGAGAGGAAGCAUAAGCUGUAGAUCUACCAAGAGAGUGUAUCUAUAUUCUUCGUAGCUGUUUAUUUACCACCACAAACUGAUGUUGGCACAAAGGCCACACUCAAUAAGCUGUAUACGGCCAUAAGCAAACAGGAAAUCAUUCAUCUAGAGGUGGCUCUCCUAGUGGUCGGGGACUUUAAUGCAGGGAAACUUAAAUCCGUUUGACCUAAUUUCAACCAGCAUGUUAAAUGUGCAACCAGAGGGGAAAACACUGUAAACCACCUUUACUUCACACACAGAGACGCGAAUAAAGCUAUCCCUUGCCCUCCAUUUAGCAAAUCUGACCAUAAUUCUAUCCUGAUUCCUGCUUACAAGCAAAAACUAAAGCAGGAAGCACUAGUGACUCGGUCAGAUGAAGCAGAUGCUAAGCUACAGGGCUGUUUUCCUAGCACAGACUGGAAUAUGUUCCCGGGAUUCUUCCGAUGGCAUUGAGGAGUACACCACAUCAGUCACUGGCUUCAUCAAUAAGUGCAUCAAUGACAUUGUCCCCUCAGUGACUGUAUGUACAUACCCCAACCAUAAGCCAUAGAUUACAGUCAAUGUCCGCACUGAGCUAAAGGGUAGAGCUGUCGCUUUCAAGGAGCGGGACUCUAACUCGGAAGCUUAUAAGAAAUCCCGCUAUGCCCUCAGAUGAACCAUCAAAAAGGCAAAGCAUCAAUACAGGACUAAGAUCGAAUCGUACGACACAGACUCCGACAUUUGUCGGACGUGGCAGGGCUUGCAAACUCUUACAGACUACAAAGGGAAGCACAGCUGCGAGCUGCCCAGUGACAAAAGCCUACCAGUCAAGCUAAAUUAUUUCUAUGUUUGCUUCGCGGCAAGUAAUACUGAAACAUGCAUGAGAGGAUCAGCUUUUCUGGACGACUGUGUGAGUAAGACCUUUAAACAGGUCAGCAUUCACAAGGCCGCAGGGCCAGACGGAUUACCAGGACAUGUACUCCCAGCAUUUGCUGACCAACUGGCAAGUGUCUUCACGGACAUUUUCAACCUCUACCUGUCUGAGUAUGUAAUAUCAAUAUGUUUCAAGCAGACCACCAUAGUCCCUGUGCCCAAGAACACUAAGGUAACCUGCCUAAAUGACUACCGACCGUUAACCAUCACGUGAGGAAUAACAAUAUCCCUAUACUCUCUACACAUGCCAGUUUUAGCCUUAGCCACCACCCUCUUUAGAAUAGCCUUUAUUUCGGUAGCACUGCCCUUCGGGAUGAUUGCUGAUGAUUAUUUUUAAGUCUAGUACUGCCGGUAAUGGAGUCACCAAUGACUAGGGGUUUUCACUUUGUCAGAGCUAAUGGUGGGAGGCUUGGGCGGCUCAGACCCUGUAAUGGAUGGAGGAGAGACCAGAGAAGUCUCGGCCCCUGAAUCCGACUCAUUACUUAAUGGGGAGGACUGAUUGAAAGUUUCUGUCGGCUGAAUGAGCGACACCGGUUGAGCAUGCCGACAGCAUUUCCUUCCAGAAGCCUUGAGAAAAUUGUCUGUCUGUGGAGACUGUGCGAGGCCAUUUAUACUGCUAUCUGUACUUACUGGCGGCACAGACGCUGUUUCAUCCUUUCCUACACUUAAAUUACCAUUGCCUAACGAUUGCAUCUGAAGCUGGGCUUGUAGCAUGGCUAUCCUCACCAUAAGGUGACAAUUUUUCUGUAUAUUAUGAGUGCGGCGACUGCAAUUAGAUGGCAUAGUGUUAAUAUUACUACUUAGCUUUGGCUGGUGGAGGUCCUGGAGAACCAUGUCCAGAUUAAGCUUCCCGGGUGAAAAAGUUGAAUGAAAAAAGUAGAGCGAGGAAAAAACAUAACGUUAUGUGUAAAAUUAAGAUAAUGUGUAAAAUUAAGAUUUUGAUUAAACGGUUAUAGAAAGUAAAAACCAUAAAGUUGGCAUGUAGCCAAGUAGCAACAAAGUAGCAACAAACAGCACAGCAGCACGGAGAAGUGAAAUAAAAAAGUGAAUGCAGCGAUCAGGUUGGUUCCACCAUGCUAAUCAUAGCCACCAUUGAUAAUGCAAUCAGUACUAAUCAGUAAUCAGUACUGUGUGUGUUUGUGUGUGACCGACCAGUAUCUUUGAUGAGGGCACAGAAGAUGAUCUACGCUGCCAUGCCCAUAAAUGGGGUGCUGGCAAAGAGCUCAACGUUGUCGAUGGGGAGAACAGAAUUAGAUGCGUCAAUGGAGCCAGCACUUGCAAACCUGCAAGAUGAUGUGAUGGAGUCCUGAUCGACAGACAGGCUUGAUGCUGAUGUCUCUGAAUGGAGACAGGCCUUGCACUCAACACAUCCACAAUGUGGGACUGAAGGUGAUUACUGAUAAUACAGUACAUCAGAAAUGUCCAGUAUUUGCAACACCUUUUCCAUUCCUUGUGUCACUGAUGAACUCUGCCUCAACCUUGCCUAUUUUUACAGAUUGAUAGGGCUGUAGAUGCUUUUGCCAGACGCCAUCCUCGGUUGUUUGAUGGGGAGACUCAUAAUCGGAUAGGUUUUAUCUGACCUGUUCAAACUUCAACAUAGUACCUGUUUGUGUGUCAGAUAUGACCUAUACUAACUGCCAUUGGUAAUAGAACAGUGACUAUAUGUGUAUGUGUUCACAGAAACAUGAAUGGAACCAGCACAUAGAGACUUGAGGAUGUGAUGACUGACAUACGGCUUGAUUCUGAUGUCUGUGAAUGGAAAGAGACCUGGCACUCGGCAUUAAAGUUUUACUAGACACAA